rnacentral:rRNA from 1 species
GAUGAACGCUGGCGGCGUGCCUAAUACAUGCAAGUAGAACGCUGAAGGAGGAGCUUGCUCUUCUGGAUGAGUUGCGAACGGGUGAGUAACGCGUAGGUAACCUGCCUGGUAGCGGGGGAUAACUAUUGGAAACGAUAGCUAAUACCGCAUGACAACAGUUAUUGCAUGAUAACUGUUUAAAAGGGGCAACUGCUCCACUACCAGAUGGACCUGCGUUGUAUUAGCUAGUUGGUGAGGUAACGGCUCACCAAGGCGACGAUACAUAGCCGACCUGAGAGGGGGAUCGGCCACACUGGGACUGAGACACGGCCCAGACGCCUACGGGAGGCAGCAGUAGGGAAUCUUCGGCAAUGGACGGAAGUCUGACCGAGCAACGCCGCGUGAGUGAAGAAGGUUGUCGGAUCGUAAAGCUCUGUUGUAAGAGAAGAACGAGUGUGAGAGUGGAAAGUUCACACUGUGACGGUAUCUUACCAGAAAGGGACGGCUAACUACGUG